rnacentral:rRNA from 1 species
CCUACGGGAGGCAGCAGUCGAGAAUCAUUCACAAUGGGGGAAACCCUGAUGGUGCGACGCCGCGUGGGGGAAUGAAGGUCUUCGGAUUGUAAACCCCUGUCAUGUGGGAGCAAAUUAAAAAGAUAGUACCACAAGAGGAAGAGACGGCUAACUCUGUGCCAGCAGCCGCGGUAAUACAGAGGUCUCAAGCGUUGUUCGGAAUCACUGGGCGUAAAGCGUGCGUAGGCUGUUUCGUAAGUCGUGUGUGAAAGGCGCGGGCUCAACCCGCGGACGGCACAUGAUACUGCGAGACGAGAGUAAGGGAGGGGGAACCGGAAUUCUCGGUGUAGCAGUGAAAUGCGUAGAUAUCGAGAGGAACACUCGUGGCGAAGGCGGGUUCCUGGACAUUAACUGACGCUGAGGCACGAAGGCCAGGGGAGCGAAAGGGAUUAGAUACCCUAGUAGUC